UCUGGUAAUGAUGGCAGAGAGGUCACACCCGUUCCCAUACCGAACACGGAAGUUAAGCUCUCUAGCGCCGAUUGUAGUUGGGACCUUGUCCCUGUGAGAGUAGGACGUUGCCAGGC
rnacentral:rRNA from 2 species